rnacentral:rRNA from 1 species
UACGGAGAGUGCAAGCAUUAAUCGGAAUUAUUGGGCGUAAAGGGCGCGUAGGCGGAUAGGUAAGUCAGAUGUGAAAUUCCGAAGCUCAACUUCGGGGCUGCAUUUGAAACUGCCAUUCUUGAGGAUUGACGGAGAAAACGGAAUUCCACGUGUAGCGGUGAAAUGCGUAGAUAUGUGGAAGAACACCGGUGGCGAAAGCGGUUUUCUAGUUAAUACCUGACGCUGAGGCGCGAGAGCAAGGGGAGCAAACAGG